UACAGAGGUCUCAAGCGUUGUUCGGAUUCAUUGGGCGUAAAGGGUGUGUAGGUGGCGCGCUAAGUCGGGUGUGAAAUUUUGGAGCUUAACUCCGAAACUGCAUUCGAUACUGGCGUGCUUGAGGACUGGAGAGGAGACUGGAAUUCAUGGUGUAGCAGUGAAAUGCGUAGAGAUCAUGAGGAAGACCAGUGGCGAAGGCGGGUCUCUGGACAGUUCCCGACACUGAGACACGAAGGCCAGGGGAGCAAACGGG
rnacentral:rRNA from 1 species